rnacentral:rRNA from 1 species
UACGUAGGGGGCAAGCGUUGUCCGGAAUCAUUGGGCGUAAAGAGCGUGUAGGCGGCCCGGUAAGUCCGCUGUGAAAGUCCAGGGCUCAACCCUGGGAUGCCGGUGGAUACUGUCGGGCUCGAGUCCGGAAGAGGAGUGUGGAAUUCUCGGUGUAGAGGUGAAAUUCGUAGAUAUCGAGAGGAACACCGGUGGCGAAGGCGGCCAACUGGACGAAUACUGACGCUGAGACUCGAAAGCGUGGGGAGCAAACAGG